GACGUAGGGCGCGAGCGUUGUCCGGAAUUAUUGGGCGUAAAGAGCUCGUAGGCGGCCUGUCGCGUCGACUGUGAAAACCCAGGGCUCAACCCUGGGCCUGCAGUCGAUACGGGCAGGCUAGAGUGCAGUAGGGGAGACUGGAAUUCCUGGUGUAGCGGUGAAAUGCGCAGAUAUCAGGAGGAACACCGGUGGCGAAGGCGGGUCUCUGGGCUGUAACUGACGCUGAGGAGCGAAAGCGUGGGGAGCGAACAGG
rnacentral:rRNA from 1 species